rnacentral:rRNA from 1 species
AACGCUCUCCCCAAGGACGAAGCCAUGCAUGCCCGCUCACCCGGGACGCGGCGGACGGCUCAGACGACGGUUGCACCCCCCGCGGCGGUCCCUGCUAGCCGGACACCGCUGGCAACCCGGCGCCAAGACGUGCGCGCAAGGGCGGGCGCCCGCGGGCGAGCAGCGUGACGCAGA